rnacentral:lncRNA from 1 species
GGCUAAGGCAACAACCUUUGGUGUUACCCUGGUUUGCAAAGAGUCCUGGAACUGUGUGAUAACUUGCCCAGAAAAUCUUCUUGUGGAAUCUGUCUUUACAUGGAAAAGACUUGGCAAUAUUUGUACAGCAACUGGAAGAAAGGUCUUUGCUGAGAUAUACAAAGAGGCAGAAUGUGUGUGGAUCACCGAUUAGACAAGGCGAAUAGGAGCAGAAUAGAAGAGGAAUGGAAUAGAACUCAAGGUAAGUCAAAGAAAUUCAUUUGACCUGUCUUUAUACUCCAGUAGAAAAUA